CAUAUCUUCUCUGUUCAUCAAGAAUCAUAUCUAACUGCCGGUUCAGCUGCUUGAUUUCAAGAUGAAUACGAUUCUGUCCUUCAAAGACUUGUCUUAGCUCUCGAUCUCCUACACUCUCAAAUAUUUCCUCCGCUGAAAAGGAAAUAAAUAAAAAUGAUCAGAGUCACCUACACAUAUGUAGUUUUUGAAAUAACGUAAGUGACCAAAGUGCCAACAUUCAGCAAAAUUAGGACAUCACCAUCACAGUGGUACAAUCUCCCAAACAGAAAAUAU
rnacentral:lncRNA from 1 species